rnacentral:lncRNA from 1 species
UUAUAUUUUAGCCUUUCUCUUGUGAAAGAUUCUGUGAAUAUUUUCUCAUGCUCUUUGGGGGAGAACUUGUGCUGACUCCAGAUGCCUUGAGAUCUGAGAUGAUAGGAAUCCAGGAGCCCUGCUGUCCAAACCGCAUUGCCUGUCAGGAGCUCAGACUUUGCUGCUGCUGCCACUUUCGUAGGGGCUCCCUCCAGAAGGAGGGAAAUCCUCCUCAUUUCCAGUCUCCGCCAGAGUCUCCCUUCCAUGGAUUCUCUCUGAGGACAGCUGGACAGGGAGUGUGGAGAAGACUGGAGUGUGCAGACUCCUGGCUCGCUGCAACAGCAGGGAAGGCAGAGAGGGGUGGAAAUGGAGCUGGAAGGGAAUGGCCAACGAACAGACCGGUCUUCAAAACACUCACCUUCCCUUGAAAUGUUUUCCUUCCCUUAACGUGUUUUCCAUGUCGUUAAAUAUUCUUCCACAAUUAAUGGCUGCAUCACAGUCUCUAUUAAUUAUUAAUGCUCUGGUUAUUAAGUUUGUUUGCUGUCUUUCUUAGUGUCCAUUUUCCUUAAUUUCUUUGAAAUUUUCGUUUGAAGGUUUAUCUUAUGUGAGAGUUUCCAUCCUCCUUUCCUCCAAGCCUCCUUGCCUAUGAAUUUUUCUGUUGCCUCCAUCAUCGCUCCCUCCACUGUCUCUAGCCCAGGGCAUGGUCUUAGUUGGUGGCUUGGGCUCCUGCCCCUUGGUGACUGGAGAUAUCGGAGAUCCAGUCAUUGAGCUGGCAAAGGCUAACACUGUCCUUGCUUCCAGUUUAGGAAGGACACCUUGCUCUGUCACCCCACACAAGUCCCACUCUGGACUGCUCGAGGCUUCAGCUCCUGCGUGUUGCUACAGGUUAUCUAUUAUCCUGCUUUUGUAUAUGACUAUGACUCUUCUCUCCAUAUAAAAAAAAUCUAUCAUUGCUAGGUUUACGGUAGAGAGAGAAAUGUAAAGCAUGAAUGUAUAGUGUCAUAGUAAUGAUAAAUCUGUCUUAAUAAAUUUAGUUGAUUUGCUUGGGUUUUCUAGGUAAAUAAUCAUAUUACCCAAGAAUAACAAGAACUGGAGCCACCGUUUAAUCAGUACUCACUGAAUGGCAGGCACACUCUGCCAAGUGCUUCGUCUACACGUCAGGACUUGGAAAUGGGCGAAGAAGAUUACGGUGUCUUUCAGUGGAGUGCUGGGCACUGUCCAGGAGACCCUCAGGGGAUUAUCUGACUCCAGGAAUGUGCGUGUUUAAUUGACCUUCUUUUGACUAGAUUAUUUUACAGCUCUGUAGGGGUAGCUGUUAAAGUGUGAGAAACAAAUAGCAAUGCAAAUCAUUCCUGUUCACACCAAUGCAAAUGAAUUUUGACUGAUAGAUUAUAAAGUUUGUGAGUCAAACUCUCAUUUGAACAGGUUGUACCAUCUUAUUGGUUCCCUCAGUAAUUAAAGAGUUGAAUAAAAUCUUUG